UAUCGUGCUAGUGCAUGAGACUAGAGAAAAAGUUAACACAAAGUUGGAGAUUUGGAGAAAAGCACUUGAAUCUAAAGGAUUUCGGAUAAGCAGAACUAAGGCAGAGUACAUAGAGUGUAAAUUUAGUAAUAGCAACAAUGAAAGUAGAGGAGAAGUGAAGAUUGAGAAACAAGAACUGCCUAAGAGUGAACAUUUUCAUUAUUUAGGGUCAAUUAUCGCAACGACGGGGGAGAUUGAUGCAGAUG
rnacentral:sRNA from 1 species